rnacentral:lncRNA from 1 species
CCUUGACUGGCAAUUGACGCAAAGACCCUGGACAUUCAGGUCAGAAAUAGCGCCUCGCUGCCAAACCUCGAGGGGUCAUACACACAGCCGCAUUGAUGACAUCCUACUGCCCUCCAACAUCAUGAAAGCCACCAACUCCAACCACCACUCAUUCAUAUCCUGCAACCCUGCUGACCAAGGCUACAAGCACAGCGAUCAUAUUCCUCUUGUUGCCAACGUCCCCACUAAUAUCCUAGGGGUCAAAAUCAAGAAAAUCUUAGAGCGUACGCUGCCGCGUCAAAAUGAACGCGUGCUAGUGCGGCCCAUAAAGCCCUCAGAUAUUGAGAAGCUUCAUUGUGC